GACUCUAAGCGGUGGAUCACUCGGCUUGUGCGUCGAUGAAGAAUGCAGCUAGCUGCGAGAACUAAUGUGAACUGCAGGACACACUGAUCAUCGACACUUCAAACUAACUUUUCGGCCCUUGGUUACUCCCAGGGCUAUGCCUGUAAGAGGGUCG